AACGAACGCUGGCGGCAUGCCUAACACAUGCAAGUCGAACGAGCCCUUCGGGGUUAUGGUCCCACGGUGUCGGAAGCGGGGGGAAUCGUCCCUGGGGGUCGAAAUAACAGUAAGAAUUUACUGCUAAUACGGAAGGAGGGCUUCGAACCAAAGAUUUAUCGCCCAAGAAUGAUCCCGCGUAGAAUUAGCUAUUGGGUGGGGUAAUGGCCUACCAAGGCGACGAUCCUUAGCUGGUCUGAGAGGAUGAUCCGCCACACUGGGACUGAGACACGGCCCAGACUCCUACGGGAGGCAGCAGUGGGGAAUAUUGGACCAUGGGCGAAAGCCUGAUCCAGCAAUGCCGCGUGAGUGAUGAAGGCCUUAGGGUUGUAAAGCUCUUUUACCCGGGAUGAUAAUGACAGUACCGGGAGAAUAAGCUCCGGCUAACUCCGUG
rnacentral:rRNA from 1 species